GGCGGCGUGCUUAACACAUGCAAGUCGAGCGGAAAGGCCCUUCGGGGUACUCGAGCGGCGAACGGGUGAGUAACACGUGAGUAAUCUGCCCCGCGCUUUGGGAUAGCCAGCCGAAAGGCUGAUUAAUACCGGAUACGACACUCUCUCGCAUGGGAUGGGUGUGGAAAGUUUUUUCGGCGUGGGAUGUGCUCGCGGCCUAUCAGCUUGUUGGUGGGGUAAUGGCCUACCAAGGCUUCGACGGGUAGCCGGCCUGAGAGGGUGACCGGCCACACUGGGACUGAGACACGGCCCAGACUCCUACGGGAGGCAGCAGUGGGGAAUAUUGGACAAUGGGCGGAAGCCUGAUCCAGCAACGCCGCGUGAGGGAUGACGGCCUUCGGGUUGUAAACCUCUUUCAGCACAGACGAAGCGCAAGUGACGGUAUGUGCAGAAGAAGGACCGGCCAACUACGUGCCAGCAGCCGCGGUAAUACGUAGGGUCCGAGCGUUGUCCGGAAUUAUUGGGCGUAAAGGGCUCGUAGGCGGUUUGUCGCGUCGGGAGUGAAAACCUACAGCUUAACUG
rnacentral:rRNA from 1 species